rnacentral:snoRNA from 1 species
AUGCACAGAGAACACCCAGAGAGGCUCAUGUGGGCUUCUCUGGUUUUGAAUCUAUGCUAAAUCAACUCUGGUCAUUUCCUCUGCAUAAAGAGAGCCCCCGUCUCACUUUCAUGCAUUCAGUUGAUCAGAACAUGC